UGUUAAAUGGCAAAAGAUAAGUGGCA
rnacentral:piRNA from 1 species